rnacentral:misc_RNA from 1 species
UCAACCAGGUAGCGUCAUUAACAACGUCGGCCGCAUACUGAGCAAAAACGAGGGGAGACCUCGUCUGCUAGGAUGGCACGACAGUCACAAAUGCGUCAAAGCGUAAAAGCUUUAUAGUGGGGCAAAGAUCCGACAUCCGCCGAGUUACCCUCGUUGUAUUCGAAAUCCGAGAACAUAAGCCAAUACCCGACAAACUGAGCCACCGAAUCAUAAGGGUCACACUAGUGUGGUUAGACUGCAGGGACCGCUUCAUUUUCCAUCCUUAAAAAUCCCAAAAGUUUCAUACGAUGGAGAGGCACCGAUACGAGUUCAAGUUCCUCCGUGCUAGGUAGGAAACACAAGGACCGCGUAGCCCAAAGCGUAAAUGCGCUUGAAGCCCAUAAUGAAAACACACGUCAAUGAUUCCCCCAUAUAGGUACGAAGC